rnacentral:rRNA from 1 species
UCGCCUGUUUAACAAAAACAUGUCUUAAUGUUAUAUUUAUUAAGUCUGGCCUGCUCAAUGAUUAUAUAUUAAAUAGCCGCGGUAUUUUGACUGUGCAAAGGUAGCAUAAUCAUUUGUCUUUUAAUUGAAGGCUUGAAUGAAUGGUUUGAUGAGAAAAUGACUUUCUUUACAUUAUGGAUUGAAUUUAAUGUUUUAGUUAAAAAGCUAAAAUAUAAAAGUGGGACGAGAAGACCCUAUAGAAUUUUAUUUCUUAUUGAUUAUUAAUUUUUUGGUUAAUAUAUUAUUCUUAUUUAAUAGGGAAUUUUGUUGGGGUGACAGUGGGAUUUUUAUAACUCCUAUAAUCAAAUAUUUACAUAUAAGUAUUUUAAAGAUCCUUUUUUUUGAUAAUUAGAUUAAAUUACCUUAGGGAUAACAGCGUAAUUUCUUUGGAGAGUUCUUAUCAAUAAAGGAGUUUGCGACCUCGAUGUUGGAUUAAAUUUAGUUUUAAGUGCAGAAGCUUAAUUUGUAGGUCUG